rnacentral:rRNA from 1 species
AUGAACGCUGGCGGCGUGCCUAAUACAUGCAAGUCGCGCUAACAGACGAGGAGCUUGCUCCUCUGACGUUAGCGGCGGACGGGUGAGUAACACGUGGAUAACCUACCUAUAAGACUGGGAUAACUUCGGGAAACCGGAGCUAAUACCGGAUAAUAUAUUGAACCGCAUGGUUCAAUAGUGAAAGACGGUUUUGCUGUCACUUAUAGAUGGAUCCGCGCCGCAUUAGCUAGUUGGUAAGGUAACGGCUUACCAAGGCAACGAUGCGUAGCCGACCUGAGAGGGUGAUCGGCCACACUGGAACUGAGACACGGUCCAGACUCCUACGGGAGGCAGCAGUAGGGAAUCUUCCGCAAUGGGCGAAAGCCUGACGGAGCAACGCCGCGUGAGUGAUGAAGGUCUUCGGAUCGUAAAACUCUGUUAUUAGGGAAGAACAAAUGUGUAAGUAACUAUGCACGUCUUGACGGUACCUAAUCAGAAAGCCACGGCUAACUACGUG